CUUUGUUCCUACAUACUGAUCAACAACACAGAGCUGCCUGCCAAGGAGAAAGAUAUUUUUUCAGUGAACCCAGAGGCAAAGGCAGCAAAUCAAGCCAUUUACAGCAGACUUCUUUCCUUCGGCAAGUUGCCUGCCUCUUUAACAACCCACCUGCUCUUUCCAGCUAUAAAGGCUUCCUGAUACAAAAGCAGGAAACUCCAGAUGUUUACAGUUCUCCACGCCUCCAUCUUCUUCUCCAUGGCUUCGAGGGAAGACAAGCGAGGAAGACAAAGAGGACCGGGUGGGGCUGGUGCCGGCCACUGGUCUGAAGCUGAGUCACUGGAUUCAGACCCCUGCAGCCCUGGUGUGUGGGACUCCAUGCCGCACCGCACCGCACCGCACCACACCGCACUUCACCUUGGGGACGACUACGAUAGACAAAACCAGUUUUGAAGUUAAAGAAUGCCUGUCCCCUGAGGUACCACACAGUCCCUUAUUUAUGCUUUGAACCUCAAGAGCAUAUUUGGGUGUCUGUUGCAAAAGUUCAUUAUAAUAAAAUAAAC